rnacentral:misc_RNA from 1 species
CCAAUAGCGUAUAUUAAAGUUGUUGUGGUUAAAAAGCUCGUAGUUGAACCUUGGGCCUGGCUGGCCGGUCCGCCUCACCGCGUGUACUGGUCCGGCCGGGCCUUUCCCUCUGUGGAACCUCAUGCCCUUCACUGGGUGUGACGGGGAAGCAGGACUUUUACUGUGAAAAAAUUAGAGUGCUCCAAGCAGGCCUAUGCUCGAAUACAUUAGCAUGGAAUAAUAAAAUAGGACGUGCGGUUCUAUUUUGUUGGUUUCUAGGACCGGCGUAAUGAUUAAUAGGGAAAGUAGGGGGCAUCAGUAUUCAAUUGUCAGAGGUGAAAUUCUUGGAUUUAUUGAAGACUAACUACUGCGAAAGCAUUUGCCAAGGAUGUUUUCAUUAAUCAGGAACGAAAGUUAGGGGAUCGAAGACGAUCAGAUACCGUCGUAGUCUUAACCAUAAACUAUGCCGACUAGGGAUCGGAUGAUGUUAAUUUUUUAAUGACUCAUUCGGCGCCUUACG